rnacentral:hammerhead_ribozyme from 1 species
AUUCAGCCGAAGAGUCCUAAAUAGGACGAAAACCUAAAU